rnacentral:misc_RNA from 1 species
CGUGCCCAAGGACGUUCUUGAGAAGAAUGUCAUUCCGCAGAUUCCCGUCAGCCGCCUCGGCGAACCGGAGGAAAUCGCGCGCGGCGUGGUCUUCCUUGCGUCCGACGACGCCGGUUUUGUCACGGGGUCAACGAUGACCAUCAACGGCGGACAAUACCUGCAAUAAGAGAUCGAUUCCUGAAUAGCGGAAAUCGGCUUCUGGAUAUGGCGUUAUCGCGGAUUGAAUGGCAUUGAUCCGCGAUGACGUCCUCAA